AACGAACGCUGGCGGCAGGCCUAACACAUGCAAGUCGAACGAGAAGCCACCUUCGGGUGGUGGAAAGUGGCAGACGGGUGAGUAACGCGUGGGAACGUGCCUUUCGGUUCGGGAUAACCCAGGGAAACUUGGGCUAGUACCGGAUACGCCCUCCGGGGGAAAGAUUCAUUGCCGAAAGAUCGGCCCGCGUCGGAUUAGCUAGUUGGUAGGGUAAUGGCCUACCAAGGCGACGAUCCGUAGCUGGUCUGAGAGGAUGACCAGCCACACUGGGACUGAGACACGGCCCAGACUCCUACGGGAGGCAGCAGUGGGGAAUAUUGGACAAUGGGCGAAAGCCUGAUCCAGCCAUGCCGCGUGGGUGAAGAAGGCCUUAGGGUUGUAAACCCCUUUCAGCGGGGAAGAUAAUGACGGUACCCGCAGAAGAAGUCCCGGCUAACUCCGUGCCAGCCGCCGCGGUAACAC
rnacentral:rRNA from 1 species